rnacentral:rRNA from 1 species
AUUGAACGCUGGCGGCAGGCCUAACACAUGCAAGUCGAGCGGAGCGGCGGACGGGUGAGUACUGCCUAGGAAUCUGCCUGGUAGUGGGGGAUAACGUCCGGAACCGGGCGCUAAUACCGCAUACUAUCAGAUGAGCCUAGGUCGGAUUAGCUAGUUGGUGGGGUAAAGGCCUACCAAGGCGACGAUCCGUAACUGGUCUGAGAGGAUGAUCAGUCAGACUGGAAGUGAGAACAGGUCCAGAAUCCUACGGGAGGCAGCAGUGGGGAAUAUUGGACAAUGGGCGAAAGCCUGAUCCAGCCAUGCCGCGGGUGUGAAGAAGGUCUUCGGAUUGUAAAGCACUUUAAGUUGGGAGGCGUUACCAACAGAAUAAGCACCGGAUAACUUCGGGCCAGCAGCCGCGGUAAUAC